rnacentral:rRNA from 1 species
AGAGGCCAGGCUGAAGUCUUUGCCGAUUAGCUGAGAGGUGUGCAUGGUUGUCGUCAGCUCGUGUCGUGAGAUGUUGGGUUAAGUCCCGCAACGAGCGCAACCCUCGCCUCUAGUUGCCAGCAUUCGGUUGGGCACUCUAGAGGGACUGCCGGCGACAAGUCGGAGGAAGUGGGAUGACGUCAAAUCAUCAUGCCCCUUAUGACCUGGGCUACACACGUGCUACAAUGGGCGGUACAAAGGGCUGCGAACCCGCGAGGGGGAGCGAAUCCCAAAAAGCCGCUCUCAGUUCGGAUUGCAGGCUGCAACUCGCCUGCAUGAAGCCGGAAUCGCUAGUAAUCGCGGAUCAGCAUGCCGCGGUGAAUACGUUCCCGGGCCUU